GGGCCCGCACAAGCGGAGGAACAUGUGGUUUAAUUCGAUGAUACGCGAGGAACCUUACCCGGGCUUGAAAUGUACCUGAAAGGAUGCGAAAGCGUUCUGCCGGCACGGCAGGUAUGUAGGUGCUGCAUGGUUGUCGUCAGCUCGUGCCGUGAGGUGUCGGCUUAAGUGCCAUGACGAGCGCAACCCUCAUCGGAAGUUACUAACAGGUAAAGCUGAGGACUCUGCCGAGACUGCCGGCGUAAGCUGUGAGGAAGGUGGGGAUGACGUCAAAUCAGCACGGCCCUUACGUCCGGGGCGACACACGUGUUACAAUGGCCGGUACAGCGGGGAGCGACCAAGCGAUUGGAAGCCAAUCCCGAAAACCGGUCCCAGUUCGGAUUGGAGUCUGCAACUCGACUCCAUGAAGCUGGAUUCGCUAGUAAUCGCGCAUCAGCCAUGGCG
rnacentral:rRNA from 1 species